rnacentral:rRNA from 1 species
UACGAAGGGUGCAAACGUUGCUCGGAAUUAUUGGGCGUAAAGCGCACGUAGGCGGCUUUGCAAGUCGGAUGUGAAAGCCCUCGGCUCAACCAAGGAAGUGCAUCCGAAACUGCAGAGCUUGAGUACUUAAGAGGAUCGCGGAAUUCCCGGUGUAGAGGUGAAAUUCGUAGAUAUCGGGAGGAACACCAGUGGCGAAGGCGGCUCACUGGCCCGGUACUGACGCUGAGGUGCGAAAGCGUGGGGAGCAAACAGG